GGCAGUAUGGCCGAGGGUCAGGCAGCGGAUUGUAGCCCCGCAGACAGAGGGCAGCCUCUUACUACCAAGCC
rnacentral:tRNA from 1 species